rnacentral:rRNA from 2 species
CUCUUACUAAAUUUUUGUAAGUACUGCCUGCUCAAUGAUUAAUUAAAUAGCCGCGGAAAUUUAACUGUGCUAAGGUAGCAUAAUCAUUAGCCCCUUAAUUAGGGGCUUGUAUGAAUGGCAAAACAUUUCAAUCUCUAUCUUUAUUAAUUUAUUUUAAUUUAAAUUAAGAAUAAAAAUGUUCUUAUUUUUUAAUUAGACGAUAAGACCCUUUUGAACUUUACUGUUGUUUGGCUGGGGCAGCCAAAAAAUAAUAAUCUUUUUACCCUUAUUUUUGUCGGUGACCCAAAAUAUUUGGUUAAACGAACAAGUUACCUAAGGGAUAACAGCGUAAUAUCUUUUUAAAGUUCUUAUUAGAAAAGAAGAUUGCGACCUCGAUGUUGAAUUAGUGUUCCUUUAACGUGCAGUAGCCUUAAAAGUGGGUCUGUUCGACCCAUAAAACAUUACAU